UGUAUAAUCUAGUAAAACUUAUAGCAACGGAUCUCUUGGCUCUCGUAUCGAUGAAGAACGCAGCGAAAUGUGAUAAGUAAUGUGAAUUGCAGAAUUCAGUGAAUCAUCGAAUCUUUGAACGCAUCUUGCGCUCUUUGGUAUUCCGAAGAGCAUGUCUGUCUGAGUGUCACGAAACUCUCAACCUCCUUUCCUUUGUGAUCGGCUGGUUGGAUCAUGGGCGCUUGCCGGCCAGGUCGGCUCGCCUGAAAUGCAUUUGCGAUGUUGUGUCCUUGUGAGUUGGCCCGACUAGGCGUGAUGGUAACGACGUUCGUCUAGGAUCCCGCUUCGGCGAGGAGCCGCUCCUGUUGGGCGUUUGCCUUCGCAUGAACACUCAUAUCUUUGGUUUAGACCUCAGAUCAGGCAGGAUUACCCGCUGAACUUAAGCAUAUCAAUAAGCGGAGGAA
rnacentral:rRNA from 1 species